GAUGAACGCUGGCGGCGUGCUUAACACAUGCAAGUCGAACGGAAAGGCCUCUGCUUGCAGGGGUACUCGAGUGGCGAACGGGUGAGUAACACGUGGGUGAUCUGCCCUGCACUUCGGGAUAAGCCUGGGAAACUGGGUCUAAUACCGGAUAGGACAAUGGUUUGGAUGCUGUUGUGGAAAGUUUUUCGGUGUGGGAUGAGCUCGCGGCCUAUCAGCUUGUUGGUGGGGUAAUGGCCUACCAAGGCGUCGACGGGUAGCCGGCCUGAGAGGGUGUACGGCCACAUUGGGACUGAGAUACGGCCCAGACUCCUACGGGAGGCAGCAGUGGGGAAUAUUGCACAAUGGGCGCAAGCCUGAUGCAGCGACGCCGCGUGGGGGAUGAAGGCCUUCGGGUUGUAAACUCCUUUCGCUAGGGACGAAGCGUUUUUGUGACGGUACCUGGAGAAGAAGCACCGGCUAACUACGUG
rnacentral:rRNA from 1 species